rnacentral:rRNA from 1 species
UACGAAGGGGGCUAGCGUUGCUCGGAAUUACUGGGCGUAAAGCGUGCGUAGGCGGUUCGUUAUGUCUGCUGUGAAAGCCCCGGGCUUAACCUGGGAAUGGCAGUGGAAACUGGCGGGCUUGAGUGUGGCAGGAGGGGGGUGGAAUUCCGCGUGUAGCAGUGAAAUGCGUAGAUAUGUGGAGGAACACCAGUGGCGAAGGCGACUCUCUGGUCUGUAACUGACGCUGAGGCGCGAAAGCGUGGGGAGCAAACAGG